rnacentral:rRNA from 1 species
UACGUAGGGGGCAAGCGUUGUCCGGAUUUAUUGGGCGUAAAGAGCGUGUAGGCGGUCAGGUAGGUCUGCUGUGAAAACUCGAGGCUUAACCUCGAGCUGUCGGCGGAAACCAUCUGGCUAGAGUCCGGAAGAGGAGAAUGGAAUUCCCGGCGUAGCGGUGAAAUGCGCAGAUAUCGGGAAGAACACCCGUGGCGAAGGCGGUUCUCUGGGACGGUACUGACGCUGAGACGCGAAAGCGUGGGGAGCGAACAGG